rnacentral:rRNA from 1 species
GGUUUCACCUGUGCAUCCCAUUGAACGUUAAGUAAAAACAGGCUUCCUGCUCAGCUCUCUUUACGAAAUGCCAAAUUGUUGCAGACCUACGAAUGAAUAGAAAGUAACACCGCAGGUAUACAGGAAAAUGAUGCAAUGCCUCUUAUGUAUACUGGCGCUGGAUCUUGGGUGCAUAAAACUUAAACGCAGCAGACAUUCAGGGGAGUGGGAGCCAACUUUAGUUGCCCGUAUAUGACCGACUCUGGUGUACAAAUGCUUCUUAAUCUGUACUGAGAGUAUACAAUAACAGAUAAACCAUCACUCCUAAACCUCCAUUACUUUAUUUAAUCCCGCUGGUGGACACACAUUUCACCCUGCCAGCAAAUGAAAGCACUGGUUUGCUAUAGGUCUUUCGCGGGCUGUUAUUGAGCCUCGGGCUUCCAGAGGUUCGGUUGCCUGCCGAGGAGUGUUCUUUUGCGCGUGCGGCGGCUCCACUUUCGAGGACCGCCGCUCCGCGAUGCUGUCUCUAGCAGUUUCAACCGACCCGUCUUGAAACACGGACCAAGGAGUCUAACAUACGUGCGAGUAUGCGGGUGGAAGCCCUGUAUGCGCAAUGAGAGUGAGAGUAGGGAGAGGUUCGUGUUUUUGCGCGCUCCUCGCACCUACGACCGACCACCUUCUGUUAGUAGGUUUGAGUUGUAGCGCGUCUGUUAGGACCCGAAAGAUGGUGAACUAUGCCUGAGUAGGGUGAAGUCAGGCGAAAGCCUGAUGGAGGCUCGUAGCGAUACUGACGUGCAAAUCGUUCGUCAAACUUGGGUAUAGGGGCGAAAGACUAAUCGAACCGUCUAGUAGCUGGUUUCUUCCGAAGUUUCUCUCAGGAUAGCUGGAGUUCAAUUAGUUUUAUCAGGUAAAGCGAAUGAUUAGAGGCCUCGGGGGCGCAUCGCCCUCGACCUAUUCUCAAACUUUAAAUGGGUAAGAUCCAGUGGUUGCUUCGUUGAACUGCUGGGGUUAAUAUGAACUCCAAGUGGGCCAUUUUUGGUAAGCAGAACUGGCGAUGAGGGAUGCUCCUAACGCUUGGUUAAGGUGCCCAAAUACUCGCUCAUCAGAUACCAUGAAAGGUGUUGGUUCAUUUUGACAGCAGGACGGUGGUCAUGGAAGUCGAAACCCGCUAAGGAGUGUGUAACAACUCACCUGCCGAAUGAACCAGCCCUGAAAAUGGAUGGCGCUGCAGCGAGUUACCGAUACCAGGCCAUCACCGCAAGUGUGCGAGCACUGGACUUUGCGCGGUGAUGAGUAGGAAGACGUGGAGAUCGUGAAGAAGCGUUUGGCGUAAGCCUGCGUGGAACGGUCUCUAGUGCAGACCUUGGUGGCAGUAGCAAAUAUUCAAAUGAGAACUUUGGAGACUGAAGUGGAGAAGGGUUCCAUGUGAACAGCAAUUGGACAUGGGUUAGCCGGUCCUAAGCGACAGCUUAACUGCGCAUAAGGGCGGCUUCACCGCCGCCUGGGCGCGAAAGAGAAUCAGGAUAAUAUUCCUGAGCCAGGACGUGGAUACUGUACGGUAACGUGAGUGAACUCCUCGACGCAGGCGGGUGCCCCGGGAAGCGUUGUCUUUGCUCCUUAACAGCCUCCUCUACAUACCCUGGAAUCAGAUUAUCUGGAGAUAGGGUUGACUGGCUGGUAAAGCUUCCUGGCCUUCAGGAAGUCCGGUGCGCUCCCGACUGCCCCUGAAAAGAGGAGGGAAAGUCGUUAUUUGCACCCUGGCCGUACCAUUAACUGCAUCAGAUCUCCAAGGCCAGCAGCCUCUGGUCGAGAGAAGAAAGUAGAUAAGGGAAGUCGGCAAAAUGGAUCCGUAACUUCGGGAAAGGGAUUGGCUCUGAGGGCUGGGUGCAUAGCGCCAGUGCGUCCUCCGCGUGUCGGAGCUGCGCGGGCCCUUUCGUGCCUCGCGGCGCGUCUGCGGACUGCCGGCACUGACCGCGGAGCGACCGCUGGUCUUGCGUGCACAGUGAACAGCCAACUCAGAACUGGAGAGGACAAGGGGAAUCCGACUGUUUAAUUAAAACAAAGCGUUGCGAUGGCCGCAAACGGUGUUGACGCAACGUGAUUUCUGCCCAGUGCUCUGAAUGUCAAUGUGAUGAAAUUCAAUCAAGCGCGGGUUAACGGCGGACGUAACUAUGACGUUCUUGAGGUAGCCAAAUGCCUCGUCAUCUAAUUAGUGACGUGCAUGAAUGGAUUAACGAGAUUCCCACUGUCCCUACUAUCUAGUGAAACCACAGCCAAGGGAACGGGCUUGGCGGAAUCAGCGGGGAAAGAAGACCCUGUUGAGCUUGACUCUAGUCCGACUUUGUGGAACGACUUGAGGGGUGUAGCAUAGGUGGGAGCUUCGGCGAUCUUGAAAUACCACUACCCUCAGUGUCGUUUUACUUAUUCCGUCGAGUUGAGACGCAUGCUUGCAUGUGUUUUUGCCUUAAGGCGCCUUCGCGCGCUGAUCAAUGCGGAAGACAUAGUCAGGUGGGGAGUUUGGCUGGGGCGGCACAUCUGUGAAACAAUAGCGCAGGUGUCCUAAGGCAAGCUCAGUGAGAACAGAAAUCUCAUGUUGACCAAAAGGGGAAAAGCUUGCUUGAUUUUGAUUUUCAGUACGAAUACAAACUGUGAAAGCAUGGCCUAUCGAUCCUUUAGGACUGAGAAACUUUCAGCUAGAGGUGUCAGAAAAGUUGC